rnacentral:rRNA from 1 species
ACAUGCAAGUCGAGCGAGCUGAAUUCAAAGAUCCCUUCGGGGUGAUUUGUUGGACGCUAGCGGCGGAUGGGUGAGUAACACGUGGGCAAUCUGCCCUAAAGACUGGGAUACCACUUGGAAACAGGUGCUAAUACCGGAUAACAACAUGAAUCGCAUGAUUCAAGUUUGAAAGGCGGCGCAAGCUGUCACUUUAGGAUGAGCCCGCGGCGCAUUAGCUAGUUGGUGGGGUAAAGGCCUACCAAGGCAAUGAUGCGUAGCCGAGUUGAGAGACUGAUCGGCCACAUUGGGACUGAGACACGGCCCAAACUCCUACGGGAGGCAGCAGUAGGGAAUCUUCCACAAUGGACGCAAGUCUGAUGGAGCAACGCCGCGUGAGUGAAGAAGGUUUUCGGAUCGUAAAGCUCUGUUGUUGGUGAAGAAGGAUAGAGGCAGUAACUGGUCUUUAUUUGACGGUAAUCAACCAGAAAGUCACGGCUAACUACGUGCCAGCAGCCGCGGUAAUACGUAGGUGGCAAGCGUUGUCCGGAUUUAUUGGGCGUAAAGCGAGCGCAGGCGGAAUGAUAAGUCUGAUGUGAAAGCCCACGGCUCAACCGUGGAACUGCAUCGGAAACUGUCAUUCUUGAGUGCAGAAGAGGAGAGUGGAAUUCCAUGUGUAGCGGUGGAAUGCGUAGAUAUAUGGAAGAACACCAGUGGCGAAGGCGGCUCUCUGGUCUGCAACUGACGCUGAGGCUCGAAAGCAUGGGUAGCGAACAGGAUUAGAUACCCUGGUAGUCCAUGCCGUAAACGAUGAGCGCUAGGUGUUGGGGACUUUCCGGUCCUCAGUGCCGCAGCAAACGCAUUAAGCGCUCCGCCUGGGGAGUACGACCGCAAGGUUGAAACUCAAAGGAAUUGACGGGGGCCCGCACAAGCGGUGGAGCAUGU